GAGCUGGAGAAGCAAUCAUUUUGUGAUCUUAAAGUUGUGAAUAACACAGAGAACUAUGUUGCUUUCAAGGUAAGACCACUUCGACAAAGAAGUACUUUGUACGGCCUAACACUGGUGUUAUACAGUCCUGGGAUCGUGUAUCAUCAGAGGUGCUCUUUGCUAAUAUUGCCUAGUCAUUUUUAAGUCCUUUUCUUUAUUCCUUCACCAAAAACUAUUAUCUAGUUCUUUGAUAGAUAUAUUCUUAUUUAACUUUUGGGUUUCUGAAAUGUGUAUAAAUCACAUGUUAAGGACUACAAAGUUGUUAUAUGAAAGGAACAUGCAUUUAAUAUC